GACGAACGCUGGCGGCGUGCUUAACACAUGCAAGUCGAACGGAAAGGCCCUGCUUUUGUGGGGUGCUCGAGUGGCGAACGGGUGAGUAACACGUGAGUAACCUGCCCUUGACUUUGGGAUAACUUCAGGAAACUGGGGCUAAUACCGGAUAGGAGCUCCUGCUGCAUGGUGGGGGUUGGAAAGUUUCGGCGGUUGGGGAUGGACUCGCGGCUUAUCAGCUUGUUGGUGGGGUAGUGGCUUACCAAGGCUUUGACGGGUAGCCGGCCUGGGAGGGUGGCCGGCCACAUUGGGACUGAGAUACGGCCCAGACUCCUACGGGAGGCAACAGUGGGGAAUAUUGCACAAUGGGCGGGAGCCUGAUGCAGCAACGCCGCGUGCGGGAUGACGGCCUUCGGGUUGUAAACCGCUUUCGCCUGUGACGAAGCGUGAGUGACGGUAAUGGGUAAAGAAGCACCGGCUAACUACGUG
rnacentral:rRNA from 1 species